rnacentral:lncRNA from 1 species
UAAGGGCAUCUUGAGCGACUGGGGCCGCGGAUUAAGGCACUGGGGCGCAGUGCUAGGCGAGUUGCAUGGUUCAUGUCCUUUGGGCUCUUAGUCUUAAUGCGGGCCAAACUGGUGAUUGAGAGAAAUGAAAAGGUCGCGAGCCUCAUGGGCUGCUAGAAUGCCGGGCAUGCAAGCCUCUUACCUAUUGGUCCAAGAGAAAAAAAUGAGGGAAAAACUAGUAUGGGUUGAGCUCCCCUGAUGAGUACCGUGAAUGGCGUUGGCUGCUUAGUUCUCUUCACCGGGAGAAAGGUGAGCUGCUCCCGAGAGAGGAGGUAAAGAGGAUCAAGGCGGAUGCAUUGACUCAUCUGAACGCUAUCGUAGAGCCUAUUAUGAAUGAAGGUGGAAAGAAGAGAUAUUCCUAGCCUGCUCAAGAGAUGCCGGUUGAGAAAACUGAAGACUUCAUCUAAUGCUUGUGAGGGUC